CCACAAGCCUCCAGUUGUUUCGGUGUGGGGUAACCCUAGGCAGGCCUGCAGCACUGGGGAGAACAUUAUGAAACAGUUUGAGGCUUUGCCUUGCUCUACCCAGAGCAAGGUUAUAGGAAUUUCAGACAAUU